rnacentral:rRNA from 1 species
CCUGACUGCUAUCGGAUUGAUACUAAGCCAUGCGAGUCAUUGUAGCAAUACAAGGCAGACGGCUCAGUAACGCGUAGUCAAUCUACCCUAUGGACGGGAAUAACCUCGGGAAACUGAGAAUAAUGCCCGAUAGAACAUUAUGCCUGGAAUGGUUUAUGUUUCAAAUGAUUUAUCGCCAUAGGAUGGGACUGCGGCCUAUCAGUUUGUUGGUGAGGUAAUGGCCCACCAAGACUAUUACAGGUACGGGCUCUGAGAGGAGUAGCCCGGAGAUGGGUACUGAGACACGGACCCAGGCCCUAUGGGGCGCAGCAGGCGAGAAAACUUUGCAAUGUGCGAAAGCACGACAAGGUUAAUCCGAGUGGUUUCUGCUAAAGAAACCUUUUGUCAGUCCUAGAAACACUAACGAAUAAGGGGUGGGCAAGUUCUGGUGUCAGCCGCCGCGGUAAAACCAGCACCUCAAGUGGUCAGGAUGAUUAUUGGGCCUAAAGCAUCCGUAGCUCGUUUUGUAAGUUUUCGGUUAAAUCCAUGCGCUUAACGUAUGGGCUGCCGGGAAUACUGCAUAACUAGGAAGUGGGAGAGGUAGACGGUACUCGGGAGGAAGGGGUAAAAUCCUUUGAUCUCUUGAUGACCACCUGUGGCGAAGGCGGUCUACCAGAACACGUUCGACGGUGAGGGAUGAAAGCUGGGGGAGCAAACCGGAUUAGAUACCCGGGUAGUCCCAGCUGUAAACUAUGCAAACUCAGUGAUGCAUUGGCUUAUGGGCCAAUGCAGUGCUGCAGGAAGCCGUUAAGUUUGCCGCCUGGGAAGUACGUACGCAAGUAUGAAACUUAAAGGAAUUGGCGGGGAGCACACAAGGGUGAAGCCUGCGGUUCAAUUGGAUUCAACGC